rnacentral:lncRNA from 1 species
CAGGAUAUUUCUUGCAGAAGUAUGAGUGCAGUGUGGUUGUGGUCAAGAGCUAGAGCAGGCGAGAAUAGCUACAAGGCUGUGACUGUUGUAAAUCCUCCUGGAACCAACAUUUCCUCCCCAGUUUUCAGUUCCAUCCCUCCUGGAGAGGAGAUGGCAGUCAGCAAUACAACAACCGAAGGAGAAGAAGCCCACUUGCGCAGGAAGACAACACCCCACCUUGUGUCCGAAGAGGACACUAGUCUGCAAUAUGCUACAGCAACAUCUACCAGUGACCGAGCAAGUCUGCUUUAUACUACUGUGACAUUUACCGGUAACCAAGCUGGACCUGGGUGCACCAAGAUCAAGUUUGCAAUGACUGGAGACUACGCCCUCUUAGCAGAAUAAUAGAAUAAGAAAGACUGUCUUGAAGAAAAGUUUUUAGUUUUUCUCAUAGUUAACUUACGUGCCUUUCCUUCAACCUGGUGAUGCACUUACAAAAAAUAAUAAUAAUAUCACCCUGCUUGAUUUACAUAUCUUCUACUCUGUGGACACCAUGUCUUCCUGUAGUCUGUAAACAUCAGUUCCUCUCAGAUUAAUGGUAUUAUCUUACUGGGCUAUAAAUAGAUGUGCAGAGGUUUUAGGAUAAGAUUAAUUUCAACAUGUAUACUUGAUAAAUGUGUAAAUGAACAGCUUUCUUGAUUUAUAAGUCAAUAUGUCAUUUAAAAGUUGUGUGUGUAAAAUGAGAAAACCACAG